rnacentral:rRNA from 1 species
GACGAACGCUGGCGGCGUGCUUAACACAUGCAAGUCGAACGGAAAGGCCCUGCUUUUGUGGGGUGCCCGAGUGGCGAACGGGUGAGUAACCCGUGAGUAACCUGCCCUUGACUUUGGGAUAACUUCAGGCAACUGGGGCUACUACCGGAUAGGAGCUCCUGCUGCUUGGUGGGGGUUGGAACGUUUCGGCGGUUGGGGCUGGACUCGCGGCUUAUCAGCUGGUUGGUGGGGUAGUGGCUUACCAAGGCAUUGGAGGGUAGCCGGCCUGAGAGGGUGAACGGGGUCAUGGGGACUGCGAUACGGAGCAGUGUGGUACGUGAGGCAGCAGGCGGGAAUAUGAUACAAUGAUGGCAAGCGUGUUGCAGAGGCGCCGCGUGCGGGAAGACGGCCUUCUGGUUGUGAACCGCUUUAGCCUGUGACGAAGCGUGAGUGACGGUAAUGGGUGAAGAAGCACCGGCUAACUACGUG